rnacentral:rRNA from 1 species
CGAACGCUGCCGGCGUGCUUACACAUGCAAGUCGAGCGAAGAGCAGCGGAAGCUUGCUUCGAUCAAUCUAUUGGAACGGGUGAGUAAAGUAGUAAUACUCUGCCCUUCGAGGGACAGCAGUUGAAUGACUGCUAAUCCGCAUAGAUCUAAUCUCGGCAUGAGUAUGGAUAAAGGUGGCCUGUCCAUGUAGUAUCAUAAGGAGGGAUUGCGUGAUUAGUAGUUGAAGGGGAACGGCCCCAAGGCGAUGAUCAGUACCCGGUCUGAUAGGAUGGGCCACAUGGAUUGAACCGGCCCAGACUCGUAGGGAGGCACAGCGAAUCUUCGCAAUGAAGAAGUCUGAGGAGCAACGCCGCGUGAGUGAUGACGGCCUUCGGUUGUAAAGCUACUGUUAAUCGGGAGAAAGGCUUCUGCAAUAGUGAGAAGGAUUGACGGUACCGGAAUAGA